AAACUUAAAGGAAUUGACGGACUCCUACGGGAGGCAGCAGUCGAGGAUCUUCGGCAAUGGGCGCAAGCCUGACCGAGCGACGCCGCGUGUGCGAAGAAGGCCUUCGGGUUGUAAACCGCUUUUAGCCGGGAAGAAAAGGCCACGGAUAACACCCGUGGUUCUUGACGGUACUGGCGGAAUAAGCACCGGCUAACUACGUGCCAGCAGCCGCGGUAAUACGUAGGGUGCGAGCGUUAAUCGGAAUUACUGGGCGUAAAGCGUGCGUAGGUGGUUCGUUAAGUCUGUCGUGAAAGCCCCGGGCUCAACCUGGGAAUGGCGAUGGAUACUGGCGGGCUAGAGUGCGGUAGAGGAGAGUGGAAUUCCCGGUGUAGCAGUGAAAUGCGUAGAGAUCCGGAGGAAGACCGGUGGCGAAGGCGGUCUGCUGGGCAGUUUCUGACACUGAUGCGCGACAGCGUGGGGAGCAAACAGGAUUAGAUACCCUGGUAGUCCACGCCGUAAACGAUGGGUACUAGGUGCCUGGGGGAGCGACCCUCUGGGUGCCGCAGCUAACGCAUUAAGUGAACCGCCUGGGGAGUAUGGUCGCAAGGCUGAAACUUAAAGGAAUUGACG
rnacentral:rRNA from 1 species